rnacentral:lncRNA from 1 species
GAAGCUACUUAGAGAAACAGACAAAGACAAAGCAUACAUAAGCAUACCAUAUCCGGGGAGUGACAGAAACCAUGAGCAUUUAAGAUAUUUUUAACAAAACAUGAUGAAAGUCCCAAUUCAAAUAAAAAGCAACAUGUCAGAAACGGAGAAAAGUCAGAAUAUGCACCAAAUCACGUUUUAAUUCAAGCUUGACAGGAGCUAUUACAAAAAUGAAACAAACUUGAAGAUUCAAACCAAAAAUACGGACCUUAGCGAAACUCGACUCGCCGACUUGGCCACCAAACUAAAAAUCACAGGUGAACAAUAUUGACGGAGCUCAGCCCAAUUCAGUCAAAUAGCAACAGCGAAUCUAUGAGCGGACAAGUGAAAAUAAAUUCAGCCGCAACAGAUCCGAACCCAGCGAGACAGCUAUGAACUCGACUUUAACCCAGAAAGAGAAAACGAAGCUCACAAAAACUUUCGCCAACAUCAAACCCAAACACCUCAAAUUCUAUCAAAACUCAAGUCCAUUAUGAAUCUAAAAUUGAAAUCGAAGAGGAGAAACAGAACAGACGUGACAUUGGACAAUUCCGAGCGCUUUUGUGCUAAUUUUCAACCGCAUUUUCUGCUAUUCCCCGCAGCUGGUUUGCUGUAAUUUGGGACUGAUUUCACGCGUUUUGGGUGUAGUUUGUUCCAGCGGGUUUUGGGUGGGGAACGGAGGGUUGAGGCGGUUUUGGAGUCGAUUUCAGGCUAAAGGGGAUGGACGGACGAAAGUGCUGCUACUGGUUUUUCCGUUUGGAAAUGGAAGGAAAUUCCAUUUGUUCUCUGGAUCAGAAAGAAACAUGGAAUCGCCCCUUUGCUAGUUCUCCGUCCGUUUUUGUGUAUUUUUCUAUCCUCUUUUUCAUUGGGCACGGAAUGGUUUUAUAAAGUGUGUGGGGGAGUAAGAUUGUUAUGCGGGGAAUUUUAUUUGGGAAGAAAGUGUUAUGUGAGGUAAUAUUUUUGAGUAAGGUUUUAGGUGGAC